GGGAGAGAGAGUCCAUAAGAGAGCGGCCACAAAGGGAGUCAAAAAUAGAGAACGCCCAUCACCUCCCUCGCCGGAAUUGAUCACUGGCGAGUGACGACGCCAGCAACAAAUUCAAACGGACCAGCAACCCCUCCUAGUUCCCUCAUCUCCCAUUAACACACACACAUGCACAUUAUCGAAAAAACAGAUGCAAGGAUCGAAAAAACGGGACAGAAUCUGGAAACGAGAAAAAUGAAAAUAGUUUGAAUUAGUUUUUGGUUCAAGUUGUAUUUUCUAUUUUAUAAAAAUCAGAAAACGAAAAAAAAGGUUUCGUUUCUUUUCCUGGAUUUCUGCCUGAAUUGGAGUUCGUUUGAUUGAGUCGAGUUUGUUUCGAGGUCACAGUUCGAGGUUAGAGCCCGAGGUCACUGUUCGAGGUCCUGGUGCGGUUCCUAUUUGCUGAUUUUAUUUCCCGAUCAAGGUCCGCUUUUUCAAUCAAAGUUUUUGAGAUAGUUAAGGUCUACUUCUAACUUACUGCUACUAUUUUGCUUCAUAGCAUAUCUUACUGUUUUAUUCUGUGUAUGUCGUUGCUUUGCUUGGUUGAUUGUUUGGGUUAACAUUUUGUUGAUUUGUUUUUGUAAUGCUUUAAUGGUUACUUGUGUAACACGUGAUUUUUGCCCUAUAUGAGAAAUACUCCCAAAAAAUGCAAAAUAAAAUGA